CGAUAAUAACACACCUCUCUAUAGUAAGGGUGUGAGCGCUUGCAGGAGGAGAUCCUGACUGUCCAUGAAGGACAGAAACAUGUUGAUCCAUCUGAAACUGUUCUUGUGACCAAAGCUGGGAACAGAUCCAUGAGGCUGAUGUGACCCGGUCCAGAUUGAUCCAGAACCUCUCAGAGAAAUCAGACAGAGUAGAGGAGAGGAGGAGGUGUCUAUUUAUCUCAGUGAGGAUCUCCCCCCCUCCUCGGUCGUCCUCUGAGGCAGGGAGCUGUGACUGAAACACUCGGCUGCUCCGCUCUGGAUGAGCUCUGAAUAAAUGGGGGGAACGGGGGCACCAAAGGAGCGUUAGAGAGCCGGGGAGACUGCAGAGGAGAGGGAGCUCCUUAAAGCUCCUUGUCAAAAUAAUGAAAACAAAUGGCGAGCGGGUCUCCUGAGAUGGAGGGGAGAACUUCAUUUGUGAGGUGCCUCUGCUGCGAUUCUGCUUCGUCUCAGCAAGUCUUCAGUUUUAGAGCGGAGGGGGGAGUCGGAGCGAGCGGGCCGAGCGACGCUGAGGGGAAGAAAAAUGAGAGCGCUCAUUGUAAUAAUUGUUCAGGGUCAAUUAUUCCCACGAUGGAGCGAAUCAGGAUGAUGUGAGUUCGCACGCCGCCGCUGCGAAGGAAGAGCUGAAUUUAGCGUCGUUUAGCCGUGGAGAUGAUCCCCAGUGAUGCCGAGCAAAGAACAGAGAGGAUCGACUUCAUUUAACCAGACUAAUUAUGGCGCCAGGACGACACAACAGGACCGCUAACGAGACGAAGAUACUACAGACAGAGGCCUGAUGAUAGUGGGAGGAGCUGAGAGCGCCGUCAUGUGACAGAAAACAGCUGAGAGAAAGUUCAGGAUUCUGUGUGAGUGUGUGUGUGUGUACGUGUGUUCAUAUGUGUGUGUGUUUGUGUGUGUGUAAAAGUCCCACGACUGUGACAUCACUCUCCAUCCUCUAGCUCAGCCAAUGACAUCUCAACAGGAAGUGAAGUUCACACAGACAGCUGAUCUCAGAACGACACCAAUCAGAGCGGAGCGGUCGCUAUGGUUACCAAAAUAAAAGCAUGACUUGAGAUGGUUUCGGGUUAGUGACCUCUGACCUUUACUGGUUAACCCUUUAGUUAUUAGAGGACAGAUAGUGACGUCAUACUGCGUAAUUACAGUAGACUGUAUCUAGACUCUGAGAACAGCGCCCUCUGGUGACGGGCUGCAGUAUAGGUCAUAAACCCCGCCUCCUUAUGGAGCUGUGGACAAACUUUCUAAAUGAAUGACACAGAAUAUAAAUGUUUCUCCCCCCUGGUUGUGAUGUUGACAUGUAGUUACUGUCAGACUGGUUUGUGCUCAAGUCCUCUUUUUUCUGUACAGCUCCAUGUUGUUGUUGUUGUUGUUGUUGUUUGACUUUGUUCUUGAGUUCAGACUCUCUUCAGACUUCUAUGUGGUCCAGAUCUAUGACAGAGGAACAGGUCCAGAUCUAUGACAGAGGACCAGGACCAGAUCUAUGACAGAGGACCAGGACCAAGGCGUCGAGGGUUCGAGGAGUUUUCAGGAUCUGAACAGAAACUCUGAUCGGAUCUUCAGACCAAAGACAGUCCAGUUAUCGUUCUUCUCUUCAGUCCGACACUAAAAAAAAAACACCUUACAUCUUCUUUUUCUGAUCACCCUGCUUCCUUCCUUCCUUCCUUCCUCCCUCCCUCCUUCACCCUACUUCCCUCCUUCCUCCUUCCUUGCUCCUCCC
rnacentral:lncRNA from 1 species